rnacentral:rRNA from 1 species
UACGUAGGGUGCAAGCGUUGUCCGGAAUUAUUGGGCGUAAAGAGCUCGUAGGCGGUGUGUCGCGUCUGCUGUGAAAACUCAGGGCUCAACCCCGGGCCUGCAGUGGAUACGGGCUGGCUGGAGGCAGGCAGGGGAGAACGGAAUUCCUGGUGUAGCGGUGAAAUGACGCAGAUAUCAGGAGGAACACCGGUGGCGAAGGCGGGUCUCUGGGCCGAUACUGACGCUGAGGAGCGAAAGCGUGGGGAGCGAACAGG